CUUGGGGUGGGGAGGUCCCCUCAGCCAGGAUUUCAAAACAGUGCAGGCCAGGCUGAGGGACCCCACCAGUGCACA
rnacentral:pre_miRNA from 1 species